rnacentral:rRNA from 1 species
UGGGGAAUAUUGCACAAUGGGGGAAACCCUGAUGCAGCGACGCCGCGUGAACGAAGAAGGUAUUCGUAUCGUAAAGUUCUGUCCUAUGGGAAGAUAAUGACAGUACCAUAGAAGAAAGCUCCGGCUAAAUACGUGCCAGCAGCCGCGGUAAUACGUAUGGAGCGAGCGUUGUCCGGAAUUAUUGGGCGUAAAGGGUACGCAGGCGGUUUAAUAAGUCGAAUGUUAAAGAUCGGGGCUCAACCCCGCAAAGCAUUGGAAACUGAUAAACUUGAGUAGUGGAGAGGAAAGUGGAAUUCAUAGUGUAGUGGUGAAAUACAUAGAUAUUAGGAGGAAUACCAGUAGCGAAGGCGACUUUCUGGACACAAACUGACGCUGAGGUACGAAAGCGUGGGGAGCAAACAGG